UGGGGAAUAUUGGACAAUGGGCGAAAGCCUGAUCCAGCCAUGCCGCGUGUGUGAAGAAGGUCUUCGGAUUGUAAAGCACUUUAAGUUGGGAGGAAGGGCAGUUACCUAAUACGUAUCUGUUUUGACGUUACCGACAGAAUAAGCACCGGCUAACUCUGUGCCAGCAGCCGCGGUAAUACAGAGGGUGCAAGCGUUAAUCGGAAUUACUGGGCGUAAAGCGCGCGUAGGUGGUUUGUUAAGUUGGAUGUGAAAUCCCCGGGCUCAACCUGGGAACUGCAUUCAAAACUGACAAGCUAGAGUAUGGUAGAGGGUGGUGGAAUUUCCUGUGUAGCGGUGAAAUGCGUAGAUAUAGGAAGGAACACCAGUGGCGAAGGCGCUUUACUGGACAGCAACUGACGCUGAGGAACGAAAGCCAGGGUAGCAAAAGGGAUUAGAUACCCACGUAGUCCCUGAGCGGGCUGGCAAGGCGCAU
rnacentral:rRNA from 1 species